GGAUGUAGCUCAGUUGGUAGAGUGCUUGCCUUGCAUGCAGAAGGCCCUGGGUUCCAUCCCCAGUACCA
rnacentral:tRNA from 1 species